UAAAAAAAAAAAAAAGAGUACCCAGAAACAAGGACACGGGAGACUCUAAUCACUCUCCUAAUUUCCCUCUCUUAACCCUAAUCUUUUUUUCUUCAAGUUUAUUACAGUGUUGUGUUUGUGUUUGUUUUUGUCUGUGUUUGUUUUAGUUUGUGUUUGUGUUAAACAGUGUCUCACUCACUCUCACUCUCUUCUUGUCUAUGUUUCUGUUUGUUUCUUGAGAAACCAAAACAUAGAGGAACAAGAAAAAAAAAACCAUGGAUACUUAUGAAGCAACCAACAUACUUAUGUCCAAGAUCAAGACCAUAGACCCAGAAAACGUCUCAAAAAUCAUGGGUUACAUUCUCAUACAAGACCUAAACGAGAAUGAUUUAUGUUCUCUAGCUUUUGGUUCAGAAGCCCUUUUACAUAGCGUGAUUAUUAAAGCCAAAGCUCACUUAGGACUUUCAUCGAACACCUUAUCUGCACCGCCUUCUCCUUUAAAUCCCAUCUCAAGACCCGGGCUUUCUCACAACCCGUUUUCAACUCAGUCUUCUGUGCCAUCCCCUCGAGUUGGGGGCUCUCCUUUUGUACAUUCAUGGCCUGGUCCUGGUUUGGGUAGUAAUGGGGUUAGUUCAAUUAGUUCAGUUAGUUCAAUUAGUCCAAAGUCUAGUCCUUUUUUGUCUUAUGAUAAUAUAAGGUCUGGGUCUGCUUUAGUAUCUAACUCUGCGAAUGAUAAUGGGAGUGUUGAUGUUAGUCGAAACCGUGGUGAUUUGCUUAAUGAGUAUCAGUUGGAUGAGUAUUUUUCUUUUCUUGACGACUUGCCUUCGAAAGGUGAGGACUUUGGUGAUCCUAGGGCUCAAUUGGGUGGUUUUGGGGGGAGUAAUGUGGAUGCUCAUCUUCAUAGGAGGAGAUUUUCGGAGAGUGAUGCUUAUUUUAGUGGGGAAGAUGGCGGUUUUGAACUUGGGCAUAGGCCUUGUUUGUAUUAUGCUAGAGGGUUUUGUAAAAAUGGUGAGAAUUGUAAGUUUGAACAUGGGGGGUUUGGUGGCGGUGGUGAUGGAUUUGGUGAGAUUAAUGGGAGUGGUGGUGUUCUUGUGGGUUCUCCUAGGGAAAUGGAGGGGAUUUAUAUGCGGCAACAGGAGGAUUUAAUGAGGAUGAAGGCUGUACAACAGCAGCGUAGAUUGGCUUGCGGCAAGUAUAUGAACUUUCUUUUGCAACAUGAUAGUGACCCUCAGAGAAUUGGGGCAGCCUCAGCAAUGAUGGGUGAUGAAUUUCACAAGUUUGGCCAGUUCCGUCCUGAAAGGAAUGAUUUUUUGGCGAUGGCAAUGGAAGACAAGGCAACCUCAGCUUCUCGGCAGAUCUACUUGACAUUCCCAGCUGACAGCACUUUCAAAGACGAAGACGUGUCAAAUUAUUUUAGUACUUUUGGACCAGUUCAAGAUGUCAGAAUUCCAUACCAGCAGAAGCGGAUGUUUGGGUUUGUGACGUUUGUUCACUCAGAUACUGUGAAGCAUAUUUUGUCAAGAGGCAAUCCUCAUUUUAUAUGUGAUUCUCGUGUGCUUGUUAAGCCAUACAAGGAAAAAGGAAAAGUCGCAAACAACAGUAGGAGGCAACAACAUCUGCAGCACCAGCUGAUGGAUAGGGGUAAUUUUUCACCCUGUUCUAGCCCUUCUGGCAUUGAUCCUAGAGAGCUAUAUGAUCUGAACUUUGGAGCUAGAAUGCUCUACAAUUCACAGGAGAUGGUUAGGAGAAAGUUUGAGCAGCAGGCUGAGCUGCAGCAAGCAAUUGAACUCCAAGGGAGAAGGUUGAUUAAUUUGCAGCUGCCAGACUUGAGAGGAGACUUUGUUCACCAUCACCAGCGUAGUUUAUCUGCUGGUGCACCAAUGCUGGCUCGUGCUGCUGCUGAUCUCAAUAUGAGUCUCUCUUCCGAUGUCAAUAAUCAGGAUGUUUUAGAAGUUGCCACUGACAAGGAAGACAGCCCUUCCACCAACAUGGUGUCUAGUAUCGCUGUUGCUCAAUGGAACCAUCAGCGUGAAGGAUAUUCUAUUCAGUGUAAAGAUACAGUCAAUGGCAAGUUGGAGGCCAGCAGUCCAGAAGGAUGUGAGGCCAAUGAACGCGCUGGAGGCAUCGCAGAGCAUGCUCUUCCUGAAAGCCCUUUUGCUUCUCCUACAAAAUCAUUAGGAAAUCUAGGCAGCUUCCAUCCAUGUUUGGUUGAAGCUAAAAAAGGUACCGACGUCACUAACGCUUCAUCUUCUGAAAUCACUGCAUCAGUGCAUACAACUUCGUCUGAUGACUCGCCGCCUCCUAAAUAGUGUUUAAAAUGUGCAGCUAGUCUUAUGUAGGUAAUAAAAAAGUUAGUUUGGCUAAGCAGAUCGAAGUUGCUAGGAAAAGUAGAGCACAUACGAGGAAGCUUCUGUAGAUGUAUAGCGAAAAUAUACAUGCACCAAAGGGUAGAUGUGUAGAAAAUAUGUGAACAAGAUUGCCACCGCCGUCAUCAAUACGAUACUAGUAACAGCAAAAGCACAUUACAUACAUAGUAGACAGAUGAACUAAUUUGAGUAGGGAUUCUCUCCUUUUUUACUGUUUUUACCUUUUGCUCUUUUGUAGGGGUGUGUGCUGGACCACAAACUGAAUUAGAACUAAAGAAAAUGACUCUUAUUACAAUGUGAAGUAUACAUCUUUGCAAUAUUUUACCA